rnacentral:sRNA from 1 species
AGAGCGACCGGAUCCACGCCCCGGGUGACGACCAGAUAGUCGCGGAGGACGACGCUGUGGCGGUUCUC